CACUGAAUAAUCAAAAAUUUUCAUUCACUUUCAAAACGUUUUC
rnacentral:misc_RNA from 1 species